UACGUAGGGGGCGAGCGUUGUCCGGAUUCAUUGGGCGUAAAGAGCUCGUAGGCGGUUCGGUAAGUCAGGUGUGAAAUCUCCACGCUCAACGUGGAGGCGCCACCUGAAACUGCCGUGACUAGAGUCCGGUAGGGGAGUGUGGAAUUCCCGGUGUAGUGGUGGAAAUGCGUAGAUAUCGGGAGGAACACCAGUGGCGAAGGCGGCUCUCUGGGACGGUACUGACGCUGGAGACGCGAAAGCGUGGGGAGCGAACAGG
rnacentral:rRNA from 1 species